CUUGCUUUUUGAAAAAUGAGAGUUUGGUUUCUGCAUUGCGACUGACUUGUAUCUAAUUGACCAGCCCAGAUGCAGUCAUUAGAAAGAGCAAAGGAAAUUUUGUUUGCAUGGCUUUUGUUAGGUGUUAUUCGCGAGUCUUGCUGCUAUUACUGAAACAGUGGGAUUUAUGCAACUAGAUACGACAACAAACCAUGAGCAACCCCCCAGCAGUUUGCCUCAAAUAGAAUUUGGGCAUAAAACCUGAUACUUCUUGAAAUUUAUCCCUUUCCAGCUCUGGAUAGAUACAGUUUUCUUCACAUAUAUUGAAGUAAAAUGCAGGAGCAUAGAACAGCUCAGAUCUGGAGUUAAACUGGGCCAAUCUGUUCCUCAAAGCAAAGCCAACUUUUUUCUUCAUGAAACAAUCUUGUGACUGAAGUGGAAUUGGACCUAUUAACUAUGAAGUUUUGGUUUGUUUUUGUCGAUUUGUAAUUUAUUUAUUUAUUUACUAAAUUUAGAGUAGACAGUAGACAUGAGGUGGUUGUCACAGCUGGCCCGGCUGUGCCUGCAGGCCAAGGUGAAGGUGUAGGACAAGGGAACCACAGCAGAUAUAAUCCAUCUGGGUAUGAAUACAAGGUUUUAUUGGCAGCAGAUGCAGAAAUUAAACAACAUGAGGUGGAGACUAGCGAAAGAACUGUAGAAUAAGUAUGAACCAGGUAGUAUGAAGAGUUCUCACUAUGCUGGAGUAGAAUCCAGUAGAGUUCAUUAAGCAAGAUCUUACAACUAAUUCUGCUUAAUUACCGUCAUUUAACAAUGUCGGCAUUCGGCUGAUACCAUUAAUUCAGGAGGCACUGUUCACAGGCAGCAAAGAUCAAGGGUGUCAUACUGAAGGAACUGGGUCUACGUAUGUCUGAAGAGUCGAUGUGCUUAAAGGCUAGCAUACACGAGUUUGACUACAACUCAAGUUGGGCAUGGAGAAAGGGAUUGAAUCCCAGUCUUGACUGCAAAAAUUGCUUGUGAGCCACCAGUUUGAUGAAGCAGUGAAAUGGCAAGUACUGUUCUAGGUGACAUCAAAAGAGGUUUAUUCAGGGAGGAAAGGAUGAUGUUGUACCGUUGUACAAAACCCCAGUGAGAUCUAAUCUAGAGUAUUCCAAACCAGCGAGGACACACAAGCUCAUGGAAAAUGAACUCAUGCUGGUAUAGGUACAGAGAAGGACCAGAGACUAAGAGAGCCUAAGACAAAAACGUAGGACACCUAGAUUCAUUUAUGUCAGCAAAAUAAAAUCUGAAAAAAUUU